GACGAACGCUGGCGGCGUGCUUAACACAUGCAAGUCGAGCGGUAAGGCCCUUUCGGGGGUACACGAGCGGCGAACGGGUGAGUAACACGUGGGUGACCUGCCCUCAGCUCUGGGAUAAGCCUGGGAAACCGGGUCUAAUACCGGAUAUGACUCCAUGACGCAUGUUGUGGGGUGGAAAGCCUUGUGCGGCUGAGGAUGGGCCCGCGGCCUAUCAGCUUGUUGGUGGGGUGANGGCCUACCAAGGCGACGACGGGUAGCCGGCCUGAGAGGGCGACCGGCCACACUGGGACUGAGACACGGCCCAGACUCCUACGGGGAGGCAGCAGUGGGGAAUCUUGCGCAAUGGGCGAAAGCCUGACGCAGCGACGCCGCGUGAGGGAUGAC
rnacentral:rRNA from 1 species